GAUGAACGCUGGCGGCGUGCCUAAUACAUGCAAGUCGAGCGAACAGACGAGGAGCUUGCUCCUCUGACGUUAGCGGCGGACGGGUGAGUAACACGUGGAUAACCUACCUAUAAGACUGGGAUAACUUCGGGAAACCGGAGCUAAUACCGGAUAAUAUAUUGAACCGCAUGGUUCAAUAGUGAAAGACGGUUUUGCUGUCACUUAUAGAUGGAUCGGCGCCGCAUUAGCUAGUUGGUAAGGUAACGGCUUACCAAGGCAACGAUGCGUAGCCGACCUGAGAGGGGGAUCGGCCACACUGGAACUGAGACACGGUCCAGACUCCUACGGGAGGCAGCAGUAGGGAAUCUUCCGCAAUGGGCGAAAGCCUGACGGAGCAACGCCGCGUGAGUGAUGAAGGUCUUCGGAUCGUAAAACUCUGUUAUUAGGGAAGAACAAAUGUGUAAGUAACUAUGCACGUCUUGACGGUACCUAAUCAGAAAGCCACGGCUAACUACGUG
rnacentral:rRNA from 1 species